UCCCGUUAGGGUGACCUGCGGAGGGAUCAUUACAGAGUUAUCUAACUCCCAAACCCAUGUGAACUUACCUUUGUUGCCUCGGCAGUAGUUGCUGGGCGAGCCUACCCGGGAAAUCCUGGGACGACUUACCCUGUAACGCCUGCCGGUGGACUACUAAACUCUUGUUAUUUUUAAGUAAUCUGAGCGUCUUAUUUUAAUAAGUCAAAACUUUCAACAACGGAUCUCUUGGUUCUGGCAUCGAUGAAGAACGCAGCGAAAUGCGAUAAGUAAUGUGAAUUGCAGAAUUCAGUGAAUCAUCGAAUCUUUGAACGCACAUUGCGCCCAUUAGUAUUCUAGUGGGCAUGCCUGUUCGAGCGUCAUUUCAACCCUUAAGCCUAGCUUAGUAUUGGGAAUCGACUUUACUGUCGUUCCUCAAAUUCAACGGCGGAUUUAUAGCAAUCUCUGAACGUAGUAAUUUUUUUUCUCGUUUUUGAAAUACUAUAAACCUCAGCCGCUAAACCCCCAAUUUCUUAUGGUUGACCUCGGAUCAGGUAGGAAUACCCGCUGAACUUAAGCAUAUCAAAAGGCCGGAAGGAA
rnacentral:rRNA from 1 species